rnacentral:rRNA from 1 species
UACGGAGGGCGCGAGCGUUACCCGGAUUUACUGGGUGUAAAGGGCGCGUAGGCGUUUGGAUGUGUCAGAUGUGAAAUUCCAUAGCUCAACUAUGGAACUGCAUUUGAAACUAUCCAAAUAGAGUGCAGGAGGGGAAAGUGGAAUUCCCGGUGUAGAGGUGAAAUUCGUAGAUAUCGGGAGGAAUACCGGUGGCGAAGGCGACUUUCUGGCCUGCUACUGACGCUGAGGCGCGAAAGCGUGGGGAGCAAACAGG